rnacentral:snoRNA from 1 species
CGACAGUGAUAAAAAACCGCAAGAAAAACACACCAUCGUUCAGGGCUGAUUGGCGCCGCCGUGCGUGCAGCCAUGCUGCUAACUCUGCAAUUAUGAUGUCA